ACACUUUAGAAUAAUGAAAUCUCAGUUGUCCCUUGUAAUGAUAGCAAUUGCCAUGUGGUAGAAAUCUUAAUGUAGAAUAGAUCCUGGAACUUCUUAUCACAUAGAAGUAAUCUGCUGAAUUGCAAAGAACCUGGGAGUUCCUUGCCGCCAUCUAUUUUAAAGUUCAGUUUUGUCCUGAAUGCGUUAGCAUCUCAGGAAUAGAAAAGGGACUCUCAGAACAAAACAGAUCGCUCUGAAGUUUUUCCAAGCUUCAGGAGAUGAUGUCCUGGAGCCUGCCCAGUGGAGGAGAAUGGAAAAAUGAGGCAUCUGAACUACAACUCCUAUGAGGCACCUUGCUGACAUUGCCAACUAGCAAUAAUUUGGUUUUAGAUUUUUUUCAGAGAAAAGUCAACGUUUUCUGUAGAAGCACCCUCUCCUAUCCUUCUCUGACUAUCUCUAAUUACAAUUUGUGGAUCCUGCUGUGAAGGGGAAAAAAAGGGGUCAGCACUUUUUUCCCAUUCUUUAUAAAAACUUGAAAAGAUUUGUUGUAAAAUCCAAGCACAAUUGUUAUUACAUUAGAACUCCAAGUGUUUUCUGCCUUGAAAGAGCCUACAGAGAACUAGAAUGUGAUCCAAACUAUGACAUCAGCUAUACCUGUGAUUGUACUGAUUCACAAUACCUGAUCAAUUAAGAGGGGAAGUAACUUUUAUUGAUUGUUUAAACCCCUGGGUUUUCGUUAAAACCUGUUUUACUAACACUUGGGAGAAAGACUCUCUUUGCUAAGGAUUCAGCAGUAGCCUUCAUCCCUACAAUCAAGGUCUGAGAGAGCUCUCAAUCCAGCACUCUGAGUCAGCCAUGGAGUUCUCCAGUAAAACCAAGGAGAACAAACUUGAUAUUCCUAAGAUGAAAAACAAUCAAUAAAAAAAGUUAAAGGGGCACUGAGGGGAAACAAACACAGCCUUUUCAUGCCUUCUUUAUGGAUCUCAUGACUGCAAAGAGGGCAUGAUCCCAGUUUUUGUCCUUUGCAGGUCAC